rnacentral:rRNA from 1 species
CCAGCUUGCUGGGUGGAUUAGUGGCGAACGGGUGAGUAACACGUGAGUAACCUGCCCCUGACUCUGGGAUAAGCGUUGGAAACGACGUCUAAUACUGGAUAUGACUGCCGGCCGCAUGGUCUGGUGGUGGAAAGAUUUUUUGGUUGGGGAUGGACUCGCGGCCUAUCAGCUUGUUGGUGAGGUAAUGGCUCACCAAGGCGACGACGGGUAGCCGGCCUGAGAGGGUGACCGGCCACACUGGGACUGAGACACGGCCCAGACUCCUACGGGAGGCAGCAGUGGGGAAUAUUGCACAAUGGGCGAAAGCCUGAUGCAGCAACGCCGCGUGAGGGAUGACGGCCUUCGGGUUGUAAACCUCUUUUAGUAGGGAAGAAGCGAAAGUGACGGUACCUGCAGAAAAAGCACCGGCUAACUACGUGCCAGCAGCCGCGGUAAUACGUAGGGUGCAAGCGUUGUCCGGAAUUAUUGGGCGUAAAGAGCUCGUAGGCGGUUUGUCGCGUCUGCUGUGAAAUCCCGAGGCUCAACCUCGGGCUUGCAGUGGGUACGGGCAGACUAGAGUGCGGUAGGGGAGAUUGGAAUUCCUGGUGUAGCGGUGGAAUGCGCAGAUAUCAGGAGGAACACCGAUGGCGAAGGCAGAUCUCUGGGCCGUAACUGACGCUGAGGAGCGAAAGCGUGGGGAGCGAACAGGAUUAGAUACCCUGGUAGUCCACGCCGUAAACGUUGGGCGCUAGAUGUAGGGACCUUUCCACGGUUUCUGUGUCGUAGCUAACGCAUUAAGCGCCCCGCCUGGGGAGUACGGCCGCAAGGCUAAAACUCAAAGGAAUUGACGGGGGCCCGCACAAGCGGCGGAGCAUGCGGAUUAAUUCGAUGCAACGCGAAGAACCUUACCAAGGCUUGACAUACACCGGAAACGGCCAGAGAUGGUCGCCCCCUUGUGGUCGGUGUACAGGUGGUGCAUGGUUGUCGUCAGCUCGUGUCGUGAGAUGUUGGGUUAAGUCCCGCAACGAGCGCAACCCUCGUUCUAUGUUGCCAGCGCGUUAUGGCGGGGACUCAUAGGAGACUGCCGGGGUCAACUCGGAGGAAGGUGGGGAUGACGUCAAAUCAUCAUGCCCCUUAUGUCUUGGGCUUCACGCAUGCUACAAUGGCCGGUACAAAGGGCUGCGAUACCGUAAGGUGGAGCGAAUCCCAAAAAGCCGGUCUCAGUUCGGAUUGAGGUCUGCAACUCGACCUCAUGAAGUCGGAGUCGCUAGUAAUCGCAGAUCAGCAACGCUGCGGUGAAUACGUUCCCGGGCCUUGUACACACCGCCCGUCAAGUCAUGAAAGUCGGUAACACCCGAAGCCGGUGGCCU